rnacentral:tRNA from 1 species
GCCUGGGUGGCUCAGUCGGUUGAGCAUCCGACUUCAGCCCAGGUCAUGAUCUCGCGGUCCGUGGGUUCGAGCCCCGCGUCGGGCU